AGAGUUUGAUCAUGGCUCAGGAUGAACGCUAGCGAUAGGCCUAACACAUGCAAGUCGAGGGGCAGCACAUGAAGUAGCAAUACGGAUGGUGGCGACCGGCGCACGGGUGAGUAACGCGUAUGCAACCUGCCUACAACAAGGGGAUAACCCGUUGAAAGACGGACUAAUACCUCAUAAUACAGGGGUUCCGCAUGGGAAUAUUUGUUAAAGAUUAAUCGGUUGUAGAUGGGCAUGCGUUCCAUUAGCUGGUUUGAGAGGUAACGGCUCACCAAGGCAACGAUGGAUAGGGGAACUGAGAGGUUUAUCCCCCACACUGGUACUGAGACACGGACCAGACUCCUACGGGAGGCAGCAGUGAGGAAUAUUGGUCAAUGGACGCCAGUCUGAACCAGCCACGUCGCGUGAAGGAAGACGGCCCUACGGGUUGUAAACUUCAUUUGUAAGGGAAUAAAGUGAGUCACGAGUGACUUUUUGCAUGUACCUUACGAAUAAGGAUCGGCUAACUCCGUGCCAGCAGCCGCGGUAAUACGGAGGAUCCGAGCGUUAUCCGGAUUUAUUGGGUUUUAAGGGUGCGCAGGCGGGAGAUUAAGUCGGCGGUGAAAUUUUGCAGCUCAACUGUAAAAGUGCCUUCGAAACUGGUAUCCUUGAGUGUGGAUGAAGUAGGCGGAAUUUGUGGUGUAGCGGUGCAAUGAAUAGAUAUCACGAGGAACUCCGAUUGCGCAGGCAGCUUACUAAGCCAUAACUGACGCUCAGGCACGAAAGCGUGGGGAUCAAACAGGAUUAGAUACCCUGGUAGUCCACGCAGUAAACGAUGACUACUGGCUG
rnacentral:rRNA from 2 species